UAGAUAGAUAGAUAGAUAGAUAGAUAGAAAUAGUCAGAGAAAGAUAGUGAAAUAGAUUAGUUUGAUAUAUAGAUUUAGAUAGAAAUAGUCAGAUAAAUAGAGAUAGAUAGAUAGAUAGAUUUUUAUCAAGAUAAAUACAGGAAGUUGUCAAAGAAAAACAUAUAACACGUCAUCCUUGUCAUCGCAGAAUCUGACCAAUGAGAAUAAAGUGUAUUAACAUCAGGGAUUUCACAGCCAAUUUUGAACAACUGCGACGCCUUACCAUCACUACGUGAAACCCUCAUACCUCACUAAGCUCAUCAAUUUCAUCCCUCAACUGAUCAUUACUUAGAUAUACACAUAAUGCUUUUGAGUUUCAUGAGAUAGGGAGCUUUUCAGCACCGAUGUCCAUGGCUGGAGCUGCACUUACACUGUACUCCUCGUAAGUGUUAAACAGCAGCACCAUGUACUGCGAAGCACAGCGCCGGUCGUCAUCCUAACGUCAGGCUCCAUUCGUCACCACGAUGGUAACCCGCAAAACUCCAACAUGACAAAAAAUGUUCUCUCUUUCAUUCAUCUUGCGUAAAAACUCAUAGACAAAACAAGGCUAAAGCUAGUCCGAGAAUAAAAUGCAUGUUUGGGCUGUUUAAACUGAACUUGCACUGACAUAUCUUGUAAAGUCAUUGUUUUGUCUAAAGAUGCACAACAUUUUUUUCAAGGGUAUGUUUAUAAAAGUUACUUAAAUUAUCCUACGCCCUGUCUGUGAAACCAGACAGUGAAUAAAGUAAAUUUUGCUCUUCCGAUUAAGUCUCUUGCAAAGCAUUCUGGGAAAUAGAAAUGCCCUUACCCCCAGAAAGUAGACUGUGUACGAGGCGUCAAAAAGCAAGAAACCACUACAAUCAUUGUUUCAACUGGAUGCGAUGUAGCGCGAGGAGACAAAAAUAUAAUACAUGCUGUUGCAAAACUUCCAACAGAACGGGUUUGGAAAAUUUGCUUUGAUGCAUCAAGAGUAGAGCAUGUUAUUAUUGUGUCACUCUUGAUAAAAUUUAAAAGGCAAUUAUAUGGUUAAAUAUAUAAUAUUUUUAAUAUAGUAUUUAAUAAGAAUUGACUACACAUUUUUAUUACUUUCUUGUAGGGAGAUUUAUCCUCCACCUUGUGAACAGAUCUCCCUCUUUCCCAAUCAUGAGGAUAGUUGAAUAUCUAAGAAGAAUUCUUUCUUCUUCAACUUUCAACUACUCAAUGAUCAAGAUCAUCACUGUGUGUUUCAACAGCUGAAAACGUGCCAUGGUGAGCGCCAGUCGUCAUCCUAACGUCAAGCUCCACUCGUCAUCACGACGGUAAUCCCCAAAACUCCAACAUAACAAAAAGUUUUCUAAAUCUUAAACAAUAACAAUGAUUCAUUUUUAACAGUAGGCAUAUUUUAAAAUCCAUAGUUUGAUAGCAUAUUUAAAUUCAUGACAUUUCAACAGCUAGUAAUAAUAAUAAUAAUACAUUUCUAUUGUAAGAACAGCUAUUGUGGUGAUGCGAGUUACGUUGUCACAGGUGAAGAUAAUGAGGAAAUUAAAUUGCUACAUUAUGAGACACAAUUGUUCUGAUCCUUCAAAAGUGGACAAAAAUGCAUAUUCAAGACAAGGGGGUAAAAUGACAAUCAAAAUAAAUCUAUUUCGACUGUCACUUGAAGUGAAAUGUGAAAUGUGUUGCGGUAUUACAUGAAUGCUCACGUACUAUGCAUUGAUCAUUACAACCAAUCGCACUGUUGAGCUCAGAAGGCAAUAACCAAUCAGAUGAGUUUAGUUACCGGUGGAGAAAAAAAAAUCUACUGAUAUCGAGGGAGUUUUUGUCACUUUCGCGCCAUGUGCUCAGUCAGUGACGCAGGACUUUCUGAGGGGAAUUUCAGUCAGUGUGUGACGCACUCUAAAUAGGCUACUGCGCGUGGAAAAGUGCAGAUACAAUGCAAGUAAGAUAUUAAAUUAUAAUCCUUUAGUCUUUUAUGCUAUUAAAAUAACAAUGUCUUGAUUUUCUCAUGCAUAAAAUGUAACUAAUUAAUAAACGUUCUUCUCUGUGCGGCAUACAACCUUUUCCUCCCCACACAAAAACGCUUAAUGUACUUUUUUAAUCGACAUUAUUACAAUAUCACGAGUAAAAAUCGACAUUAAUGAUGUUUUACAGUUAAAAGGCAAAAAGUUGCUGUCAUGCAUGUAGAUGAAGUAUGCAUCAUCUUUUGUCAAAUUCUUACAUGUAAUCAAUAACUAAAUUAAAUGAGUAACAAGACAAAAUAACUGCCAAAAAAAUAGCUGAUGAAUUAACUAUCAAAAUUCAUCUUUGCAAUGCUGAGGAAAUGGAUGCAUCUGAAAUAUCAUUGUUUAAUGCAGCUCACAGGGGAUCAACAAUGACUUAAUUAAUAGCUAAUUAAUAAAGUACAUAAAUAAUGCUUUGUUUUAAACAUAAAACGUUGAAUAUUUAUUUUAAAUUCAAAAUUUCUAACAAUACUUUAAAUGUGAAAUUAAAACCGCCACUAGGUGGCAGCAAGUCACCUUUAUUGAGUGAGUCAUUGAGAUUCAACAGAUUCAAUUUGGCUUGUUCAUUCAGGAACGAAGCGUUAAUGUACAGCGAGUCAUCAACCAAUUCGUUCUGAUAGACUGACAGACAGAUAGUACAAGUUAUUUAUAUAUAAUUGUAUGUUACACUAACAGCCUCAAUGAUUCUUUUUUUUUUUUUUAUUAGUGAGCAUAUUUUAAAAUCUUAAUCAUAACAUAGCAACAACUCGUAAUAAUAAUAUUGUAAGACUGGUGAUGUCACAGUUACCAGGUGAAGGUGAUGAGGAAAUUAAAUUGCUACAUUUGAAGACACAAUUGCACUGCUUCCUCCAAAAUGGGAAGAAGAAGAAAAAAUCAGAGGUCUUGAAGGUACGGUUACAAUUGAAGUGAAAUGUGAAAAUAAUUUUAAAUGUGGCAUUCAAGAUUCAUACUUUUUUGUGUGUGUGUUAAGCAUUACAACCAAUCACACACAUCUCUGUUGAGCUCCGGAUGCAAUAACCAAUCAGAUGCGUUUAGAUUAGUUACCGGUGAAGAAAAAAAAAAGCUAAUAUCGCGAGAGUUUUUGUCGCGUUCGCACCAUGUGCUCAGUCAGUGACGCAGGUCUUUCUGAGGGGAGUUUUUGUGUGACGCACUCUGAAAACUGAAUGCAGGUGUGGCCAUCUGUGUCCCUCUGGCGUGAUGAGGCCCUGCUCGAGUGGAGUUUGGAACUCAGACCUGCUGCCAAAUACUGAAUACAUCAAAAACUGCAGAUAGGAUGUGUCGGAGAGAAGCACCAUGGCACCUCCAUCUUCUGCCGAGACACCUACAAUGGUGACCACCUCCUCGACAGUUUGAAGUUCAGCCUUCUGAAAUGUAACAAUAUAAACAAGUCUCAGUAAAGGCGCUAUAUAACAAUGGACAUGAACACUAUUAAUGUUAGUUGACUACCUAAGUUAACAUGAUCUAACAAUGAAAAUACUUCUAAAACAUUUAUUAUUCUUCAUUAAUGCUUAGUUCAACAUUUACUAAAACACUAUCAAACUGAAAGUUGUGUAACUGUUGUAUUUUGUUGAUUAACAUCUGUAACAAAUAUUAAUAAGUACUGUAACAAAUGUGUUGCUCAGUGUUAAUGUAUAGUCAAUUCAUUAACAUUAAUAGGGCCUUAUUAUAUAGUGUUACCAAUAUUAUGAAAAUACCAAUGGAUAUAUAAAAAGUUCAAAAAUGUAUAUCCCCUUGGUACACAACUCACAAGUGUAGAAAGAUGAAGGAAAAAUCAAUUGGAGAAUAAUUUGGCUACAUGAUGCGUAAUGUAUGCUGUGUACCUCCACAGUUGUAUAGCUCGAGGAGUUAAAUUUGGCAGCAGGUUUGAGUGUUGCCUUGAGAUGUGAAAUCUCAACCUGAUCUCCCAAACUCAUCUCAUGAAGGGCCUCAUCACGCCAGAGGGAGACCUCGAAGCACUUCUGGCCACACCUCAGAGACAGGUCUCUGAUGGGGACCUCCCCAUCGGUCACCCGUGUCAUCCUGAUUACCUGCAACUACAUGAUCACAAUGGGAGAUGAAUCCUCCCCUUGUGAAAAGGUCGUCCUCUUCCCCUGUCACGAGGGCUGUUGGAGGACUGAGGAGAUCCGUCGCCUUCUUCUCCGCUGCCUCUGGCACGGUGAAAGGUGCUGUUUUAAAUUUCUUUGCCCCAGGGCCAAGAAAAAUACACUCCCGACCGAAUUUUAAGGACAAGGUGUGAUUUUUUAUAAUAUAGGCCUCCCCCUUCUCAAAAAGUGGGGUGCCUCCAUCAACUGCCGCAAUAAAUGCUCUGUCACCAUUGGUGAGAGCACUUAUAGUGGUCGUUUUAAAUGACCCGAUCUCAGUUUUGUUUUUGGAGACCUCAUAGGUCUUCGCACGGUGGUUUGUGCGAUUGUUCACACACAUGAGCUUGGUGGGAGUGGGCCUGCUGUAUGGAGAGCUUGCAGCUGCCAUUCUGGAGGGUAAGAGAAAAUACACAUUGAUUUAAUUAGCAUCAGAAGUGAAAGAGUAAGACAGAAGACCAAUAGCAAUUCAGUACGCAAAUUAUACAACUACAUCUGUGUCCAAUAGGUUCACCAUUCAGUUGGUUUAGUGCAGGUGUGUCAAACUCAUUUUAGGUUGAGUUAAAAAAUUAUUUCGGAAAAUACACUUUUCUGUCAGAAAAACUCCUGUCAGAAUAUAUUUAUUAUAUUAAAAUUUUCCACUAAACAAUUGUUAAUAUAACUUGAUUUGAGGUAAAAAUUACUUCAGAAAACAUUUUCCUGUCAGAAAACUUCCUCUCAGACCAAAUCCUGUUAGAAUAUAUUUUUAUUAUAUUGAAAUUUCCCACUAAACAAUUGUUAAUAUAACUUGAUUUGAGGUAAAAAUUACUUCAGAAAACACUUUCCUGUCAGAAAACUUCCUCUCAGACCAAAUCCUGUCAGAAUAUAUUUUUAUUAUAUUGAAUUUCCCACUAAAAUUUAAACAAUUGUUAAUAUAACUUGAUUUGAGGUAAAAAUUACUUCAGAAAGCACUUUCCUGUCAGAAAACUUCCUCUCAGACCAAAUACUGUCAGAAUAUUUUAUAAUUACUUAAUAACUUUUUAAAAAUAAUUAAUGUAAUUCAAAAUAAGUAAAAAAAAUACUUCAGAAAAUACACUUUCCUGUCAGAAAGGCUACUCUCAGAUUAAAUUCUCAUUAAUUGUAAAACAUAUAUUAGCCUGUCUUGUCACUUUCAUACAGAACCUAUCACUAAUUUAAUUGGAAGAAUUUUUAUUGUGAAGUUAUAACUUUUACACAGUUUGUAGAAAAGUAAAAAUUCUCACCUCAUCUGUGUGUUGUUGCU